ACAAUUAGUAAAAAGAAGUACAGAAAAACUGUUGUGUUGGAUUUUUUAAUUUUGUUUUCUUUUCAAAAUGGCGUCUUUUGCUAGUUUUUUGUUGGUUUGCAUUGUGGUUUUAGGAUUGGUGCAGAACAUUGAAAGCCACUUCUUCGGACAUUAUGGACCUUGGUUCUAUCCUAGACCGCCAGGCUUUGGUCCGUACUACGGACCAGGAUUUGGACCCGGUUUUGGUCCGGGAUUCGGUCCCGGUUUCGGUCCGGGAUUCGGACCACCGCCGCCUCCACCUCCGUUCUUUGGAUGAUGGAAGAUAACUGAAGGAUGAUGAAAAUCUUUGAAAUGGAAUGGCUAUCGAAAUAAAUGUUUAUUGUUU